rnacentral:rRNA from 1 species
AUGGAGGCUGUUAAUCCGGAGUGUGUCCGGUGGAUAGGUCAGGACCAAGCCGUUCUGGGUUUCUUGCUCAGUUCCCUGGCAAAGGAAAUACUGACGCAAGUAGUGUCAAUUCCAACCGCAGCUGAAUGUUGGGCGACGCUUGAACAAAUGUUCUCGUCGCAAUCCAGUGAGCGGGUUAUCAACAUCCGCAUGACCAUGGCAAAU